rnacentral:rRNA from 1 species
GACAGAGGUGCCGAGCGUUAGGCGGAAUCACUGGGCUUGAAGCGUGUGUAGGCGGGCCGUUAAGUGUCUUGUGAAAUCCCCCGGCUCAACCGGGGAAUUGCUGGGCAUACUGGCGGUCUUGAGCAAUCUAGGGGCAGAUGGAACAAGUGGUGGAGCGGUGAAAUGCGUAGAUAUCACUUGGAACGCCAAAGGUGAAGACAGUCUGCUGGGGAUUUGCUGACGCUGAGACACGAAAGCCAGGGGAGCGAACGGG